rnacentral:rRNA from 1 species
AUUGAACGCUGGCGGCAGGCUUAACACAUGCAAGUCGAGCGGAGAUGAGGUGCUUGCACCUUAUCUUAGCGGCGGACGGGUGAGUAAUGCUUAGGAAUCUGCCUAUUAGUGGGGGACAACAUUCCGAAAGGAAUGCUAAUACCGCAUACGCCCUACGGGGGAAAGCAGGGGAUCUUCGGACCUUGCGCUAAUAGAUGAGCCUAAGUCGGAUUAGCUAGUUGGUGGGGUAAGGGCCUACCAAGGCGACGAUCUGUAGCGGGUCUGAGAGGAUGAGCCGCCACAUUGGGACUGAGACACGGCCCAGACUCCUACGGGAGGCAGCAGUGGGGAAUAUUGGACAAUGGGCGGAAGCCUGAUCCAGCCAUGCCGCGUGUGUGAAGAAGGCCUUUUGGUUGUAAAGCACUUUAAGCGAGGAGGAGGCUACCUGGAUUAAUACUCUAGGAUAGUGGACGUUACUCGCAGAAUAAGCACCGGCUAACUCUGUGCCAGCCGCCGCGGUAAUAC